GACGAACGCUGGCGGCGUGCCUAAUACAUGCAAGUAGAACGCACAGUUUAUACCGUAGCUUGCUACACCAUAGACUGUGAGUUGCGAACGGGUGAGUAACGCGUAGGUAACCUGCCUGGUAGCGGGGGAUAACUAUUGGAAACGAUAGCUAAUACCGCAUAAUAUUGAUUAUUGCAUGAUAAUUGAUUGAAAGAUGCUACUGCAUCACUACCAGAUGGACCUGCGUUGUAUUAGCUAGUAGGUGAGGUAACGGCUCACCUAGGCGACGAUACAUAGCCGACCUGAGAGGGUGAUCGGCCACACUGGGACUGAGACACGGCCCAGACUCCUACGGGAGGCAGCAGUAGGGAAUCUUCGGCAAUGGAUGAAAGUCUGACCGAGCAACGCCGCGUGAGUGAAGAAGGUUUUCGGAUCGUAAAGCUCUGUUGUAAGAGAAGAACGGGUGUGAGAGUGGAAAGUUCACACUGUGACGGUAGCUUACCAGAAAGGGACGGCUAACUACGUG
rnacentral:rRNA from 1 species